rnacentral:misc_RNA from 1 species
GAUGAAGAACGUAGUGAAAUGCGUUAAGUAGUGUGAAUUGCAGAAUUCAGUGAAUCAUCGAAUCUUUGAACGCACAUUGCGCCCCUUGGUAUCCCGAGGGGCAUGCCUGUUCGAGCGUCAUUUCACCACUCAAGCCUGGCUUGGUGUUGGGCGACGUCCUCUUUGGGGACGCGCCUCGAAACGCUCGGCGGCGUGGCACCGGCUUUAAGCGUAGCAGAAUCUUUCGCUUUGGAAGUCGGGGCCCCGUCUGCCGGAAGACCUGCUCGCAAGGUUGACCUCGGAUCAGGCAGGGAUACCCGCUGAACUUAAGCAUAUCAAUAAGCGGAGGA